ensembl:lncRNA
CCUGGUUGUCUAGGACCUCCCCUCACCUGGUUGUCUAGGACCUCCCCUCACCUGGUUGUCUAGGACCUCCCCUCACCUGGUUGUCUAGGACCUCCCCUCACCUGGUUGUCUAGGACCUCCCCUCACCUGGUUGUCUAGGACCUCCCCUCACCCGGUUGUCUAGGACCUCCCCUCACCUGGUUGUCUAGGACCUCCCCCUCACCUGGUUGUCUAGGACUUCAUACUGACACAUUAAAAAGUGAAAUAACUAAAACCAGCAGAUGACUGCCCUCCAUGGAAUGAGUUUGGACACCUUCUGAUCUAGUGCCUUUCGACAGAAGCACAGAUCCAGGAACAGUCUCCAUUUCCUCAACCUUAACUAGUGUAGUAUAAGUUAACUACUAGGGGGGGGGAUCUGCAUGAAAACUGACCUGAGAUCAGUGUCGUGUUUUAUAAGAUGACCACUUCCUCUCUUUUACAGGUGACAUUCCUUUCCUCCUUAAACAUGUGUCGCUUUGUAUUCCUUCCCCCCCACUGAUUCAGUAGCAGGAAGGAGUUUUGAGGUGUCGCGUUGUAUUCCUUCCCCCCCACUGAUUCAGUAGCAGGAAGGAGUUUUGAGGUGUCGCGUUGUAUUCCCUCCCCCACUGAUUCAGUAGCAGGAAGGAGUUUUGAGGUGUCGCGUUUUAUUCCCCCCCCCCCCCCCACUGAUUCAGUAGCAGGAAGGAGUUUUGAGGUGUCGCGUUGUAUUCCCUCCCCCACUGAUUCAGUAGCAGGAAGGAGUUUUGAGGUGUCGCGUUUGAUUUCUUCCCCCACUGAUUCAGUAGCAGGAAGGAGUUUUGAGGUGUCGCGUUUUAUUCCCUCCCCCCCACUGAUUCAGUAGCAGGAAGGAGUUUUGAGGUGUUACGAUAUCAUAGAGCCUUUUAGCGUCACAGAAUACCAGUCUACUGAUAGCAUUAAUACAACGUUUGUUAGUUUGUACAUAUACCAGUAAUAGGAUCCAUGUUUCUCUAUCAUGUCUUUUACAUUUCUAGGAGAAGUUGUUGUUUUAACUAUUUUUUUUCAGAUGAUCUGUCUGUCUGUGGAAGAUUUAUUGUUAAUAAUUGUAAAGGAUCAAAAAUAAAUGGGAGUUUGUAGAGA